UCUUGCCCUGCACAAUCCCCUCAUGAUUUCUGCUCAGCACUGGCAGCUGUCUGGGGAAGGGAGGGCCCUGGCCCAGACACAAAAGCCCAGAUACUUUGUAAAUCUUUUCCCAAUUUUUGAUAAGCAUGCUGCCUUGAAGAUGCCAGCAAAGGAAUGGGGAAUUGUUCCAUCUGAUCCAACUGUCCUUUUUUGUUUCUCAAGUGAUGGACCAAAAGGCAGGGCUGAAGGAGGUGUUUCCCCAAGGAAGCAGGGGCUCACUGGCAGCCCCUGCUGCAGGAAGGAAGACGAUGGCAGACAGGGGCACAGGCACAGCAGACUGGGAUGCUGGGAAGGAUUCUCCAUUAGCCUGGCGCUCUGAAGUUGUGAAGCCCUCUGAGCAUUCUGCAGGCGUGUCUGCAGGGACGACCUCACCAACUCCUACUUUGGAUGCUGCACAAAAGGCCAGCUCCCAUGGCAGGGGUCCUCUGACAGGAGAGACCAAAGACAUGGCAGGCAGGAAAUUCCAGGACCCAUUAGAAAUCUUGUGGCAAAUGCUGAAGGAACGUCUGCAGAGAAGACAAGAAAUGAAAGGAGAGCCUGCGGAGAAAGAAGCAUUUCCCGGAGGAAGCAGUGGUUCCAUGCCAGCCUCAGCUCCAGGAAGGGAGGCCAUGCCAGGCACAGGCA